rnacentral:rRNA from 1 species
CCCUUAGAUGUUCUGGGCAGCACGCGCGCUACAAUGGUCUUCGCAAACGGAUGCAUUCUCGAAGGAGAAUGCCAAUCUUGGAAUCUAUGCCUUGGUCGGGACAGUUGCUUGCAAUUUUUCGACUCGAACCAGGAAUUCCUUGUAAUCGUGAUUCAUCACAUCACGAUGAAUACGUCCCUGCCCUUUGUACACACCGCCCGUCGCUCCUACCGAUCGAAGAGUUAGGUGAAUUGUUUUGAUCGAUAAGAUUUGACUAUGGUCAACUCUCGUUGUGAAAUUCUGUGAAUCUGACUGUUUAGAGGAAGGAAAUGUCGUAACA